rnacentral:pre_miRNA from 1 species
UAAAAGUUAACUCUCUGUAUGGAGUUGGAACGUUUGCCUUCGUUUGCCACUAGAGGCGCUGUUCAAACAGCAUACAAAUUUGCGUUA